CCUACGGGAGGCAGCAGUGAGGAAUAUUGGUCAAUGGACGGGAGCCUGAACCAGCCAAGUCGCGUGAAGGAUGACUGUCCUAUGGAUUGUAAACUUCUUUUAUAAAGGAAUAAAACGAGGCACGUGUGCCUUUUUGCAUGUACCUUAUGAAUAAGGAUCGGCUAACUCCGUGCCAGCAGCCGCGGUAAUACGGAGGAUCCGAGCGUUAUCCGUAUUUAUUGGGUUUAAAGGGAGCGUAGAUGGGUUGUUAAGUCAGUUGUGAAAGUUUGUGGCUCAACCGUAAAAUUGCAAUUGAUACUGGCAGUCUUGAGUACAGGUGAGGUAGGCGGAAUGCGUGGUGUAGCGGUGAAAUGCUUAGAUAUCACGAAGAACCCCGAUUGCGAAGGCAGCUUACUAAGCCGUGACUGACGUUGAUGCACGAAAGUGUGGGUAUCAAACAGGAUUAGAUACCCCAGUAGUC
rnacentral:rRNA from 1 species